UGGGGAAUAUUGCACAAUGGGCGCAAGCCUGAUGCAGCCAUGCCGCGUGUGUGAAGAAGGCCUUCGGGUUGUAAAGUACUUUCAGCGGGGAGGAAGGUGUCAAGGUUAAUAACCUUGGCAAUUGACGUUACCGACAGAAGAAGCACCGGCUAACUCCGUGCCAGCAGCCGCGGUAAUACGGAGGGUGCAAGCGUUAAUCGGAAUUACUGGGCGUAAAGCGCACGCAGGCGGUUUGUUAAGUCAGAUGUGAAAUCCCCGGGCUCAACCUGGGAACUGCAUCUGAUACUGGCAAGCUUGAGUCUCGUAGAGAGGGGUAGAAUUCCAGGUGUAGCGGUGAAAUGCGUAGAGAUCUGGAGGAAUACCGGUGGCGAAGGCGGCCCCCUGGACGAAGACUGACGCUCAGGUGCGAAAGCGUGGGGAGCAAACAGG
rnacentral:rRNA from 1 species